AGGAAUAAGGGCUGGGUAAGACGGGUGCCAGCCGCCGCGGUAAUACCUGCAGCCCAAGUGGUGGUCGAUUUUAUUGAGUCUAAAACGUUCGUAGCCGGUUUGGUAAAUCUUUGGGUAAAUCGGGAAGCUUAACUUUCCGACUUCCGAAGAGACUGUCAAACUUGGGACCGGGAGAGGCUAGAGGUACUUCUGGGGUAGGGGUAAAAUCCUGUAAUCCUAGAAGGACCACCGGAGGCGAAGGCGUCUAGCUAGAACGGAUCCGACGGUGAGGGACGAAGCCCUGGGUCGCAAACGGGAUUAGAUACCCCGGUAGUCCAGGGUGUAAACGCUGCAGACUUGGUGUUGGGGACCCUUCGGGGGUGUUCGGUGCCGGAGAGAAGUUGUUAAGUCUGCUACUUGGGGAGUACGUCCGCAAGGAUGAAACUUAAAGGAAUUGGCGGGGGAGCACCGCAACGGGAGGAACGUGCGGUUUAAUAGGAUUCAACACCGGAAAACUCACCAGCAGCGACUAUUACAUGAAAGUCAGGCCGAUGACCUUACUAGAUUUUUAGAGAGGUGGUGCAUGGCCGUCGUCAGUUCGUACCCUAAGGCGUUCUCUUAAGUGAGAUAACGAACGAGGCCCUCACCAAUAAUUGCUACUGCGUCGUCCGCGGCGUAGGCACAUUAUUGGGACCGCUGGCGCUAAGUCAGAGGUAGGAGAGGUCAACGGUAGGUCAGUAUGCCCCGAAUCUGCUGGGCUACACGCGCGUUACAAAGGGCGGGACAAUGGGCUCCGACGCCGAGAGGCGAAGGCAAUCUCGAAACCCGUCCGUAGUUCGGAUUGAGGGUUGUAACUCACCCUCAUGAAGCUGGAUUCCGUAGUAAUC
rnacentral:rRNA from 1 species